rnacentral:lncRNA from 1 species
GAUGAUGUUCUGAACAUGACUGCAGACGGUUCUGACAGUGGCCAGUUCCUUUCUGUUACUCCACCAUUUGUCAACUGGGAGCCUUUUCUUUUUCUUUCCAACAAGACUCAGCUCCAAUUGGAUGUGAUUGAAGUCCCUCGGCAGAGUUCCCCCGGGGCCCUUCACGGUGACUGUGCUGAGUCUUUUCGGAGAUAUCAUCAGUAGAAGGCAAAGUUUUGUAAGUUCUUUGUGGGAUGGAGCAGAAGGAAUGGAGAGAAAAUACAGUGUAAAGUAUGAAUUAAACACCGACAUCCUACUUGCUGCCAGAACUGUACCACAGAGCUUGAGUUUGUAACCCAAGUUUUCAGAACUGUUUGUCCAACAGUGCUGAAGCUCCCUGAACGGAAACAGGAAUUCGGGGCUUGAGUUAAGUGCCUGGAGGAGCAACGUGGGCUUGGUUUCUGUUUCCGGGAGCAGACGUCGGGACGCCGCUGGGCUUGCUAUUGGCCAACUCGGUGAACACAGGAGGAGUUCCAGGUCUCACCUUCCUUUGACUCCUUUCCUAGCUGACCUACAAAUGCUUUCCUUUAAUUGUAUCCUUAAGCCACACAUUGCUCUACAUUCUAGGGUUAGUGUGUGAAAGGAUUCCUGUCCUGUUUUUACUAACUCUUUAGAGAUGGAGAAAAAUGUAUGAGUCCACAAAGACUGGGUUAUCAAUUCAGCUAAACUGGGCUGCAAAUCGUGACAAAAAAGGAUGAAGGGAAAAACCAGAGUGUAAUGUAUGAGAUUUUAAAGGGAUUUGUUUGUAAUACUGGAAGAAAAGGGUUUUGUCUUAGACUUUUUAAUAGGUCUCGUAUGUCCCCUUGAAAAGGUAGCUGCAUCACAAUCAUAUAAAGGAAAAGGUGUCUGGAGAAGCUGGCAUUACGGUUAAGGAUUCGGAGUUCAUCAGCAGAUAACUGUUAGCUCCAACCAUGUGCCUCCAUUAUUGCACAAAGAGAAAAUGUGUAAAGUCACCAAAUUGUUAAUUAUGCCAGAGUGCUUUUGAGGCAGAUUCUCAAGGCAUCUAUACUGAUUAAUUCUAUUUCAAAUAAAUGUUGCAUUUCAACAUCG